rnacentral:rRNA from 1 species
UACAGAGGUGGCAAGCGUUGUUCGGAAUUACUGGGCGUAAAGGGCGCGUAGGCGGCUUAUCAAGUCAGGCGUGAAAUUCCCGGGCUCAACCUGGGGGCUGCGCUUGAUACUGAUUGGCUUGAAUGCGGGAGAGGAUAGUGGAAUUCCCAGUGUAGAGGUGAAAUUCGUAGAUAUUGGGAAGAACACCGGUGGCGAAGGCGGCUAUCUGGCCCGUAAUUGACGCUGAGGCGCGAAAGCGUGGGGAGCAAACAGG